GUACACGCUGUGACUAGCAUAUCAAUAAGCGGAGGAAAAGAAACUAACAAGGAUUCCCCUAGUAACGGCGAGUGAAGCGGGAAGAGCUCAAAUUUGAAAUCUUAAAGGGUUUCCCCUUACGAAUUGUAGUUUAAAGAAGUGUUUUCUGUUGAGGUUUUGGUAAAAGUUCUUUGGAAUAGGACAUCAUAGAGGGUGAGAAUCCCGUAUUUGACCUUUACUUUCAACUUUGUGAUACACUUUCAAAGAGUCGGAUUGUUUGGGAAUGCAGUCCAAAAUGGGUGGUAAAUUUCAUCUAAAGCUAAAUAUUGGCGAGAGACCGAUAGCGAACAAGUACCGUGAGGGAAAGAUGAAAAGAACUUUGAAAAGAGAGUUAAACAGUUACGUGAAAUUGUCAAAAGGGAAGCGUUUGACACCAGUGUUGUUUUUCUGAAAAUCAAUUAAAGAACUGUUUAUGCUAAGCUGUUUAGACUUUAUCAGCUAUCUGUUUAGUUUUGAGCUUUUCUUUAAUGCACUUUUCAGUUAACAAGUCAACAUCGAUUUCUUUUGCUGUAAAAAAGCUUGAGGAAGGUGGCUUGAGAUUCGUCUUAAGUGUUUAUAGCCUCUUGCCUAUGCAGUCGGAGAGAUUGAGGUCUGCAGCGUAGAUCCUUCGGGGCUAAAUGCAUUUGUGCUAAGUUAUAGCAUUUUAUAGACAACUUGUUGACUAUGAUUUGUCUUGUAGCUUACUCGCUUAUGUUAUUUUACCUACGCUUAGGAUGUUGAUAUGCAUGACUGAUAU
rnacentral:rRNA from 1 species